CCGUGCUAGGUGGGGAAUUAGCGGUGCCCUGUACUUGCAAUCCGCUUCAGCAAGACUGAAUCCCUUCUCGAGGCUUCUCGUAUUGUAGAGUCUGCCUCAUGCACGUAGUGUUGACGUUUGGGUCCUGCGCAAUGGAAACCCAUGAACCAUGUCAGGUCCGGAAGGAAGCAGCAUUAAGUGGAUCAUUUCAUGUGCCGCGGGGCAGCCUAGGCUGAGCUGGCGACAUGAGUAACGUCUAUGUGCGGUCGUCGACGGAAGGUGCGCGG
rnacentral:SRP_RNA from 1 species